UGUGGUGAACCUCUCUUCUCUGGAAGG
rnacentral:piRNA from 1 species